AAACAAAGGCAGCCGAUCUAGGUGUUUUGCUCUUUGAAUCUCCAACAAUCCAUCAUCACUUUAGGUAUUGUACUCUUUGGAUCUCUCCUUUUAGGGAUUUUACUCAAAAAUUACUAUUUGUGUUUAUUGGUCAUUGUGCUUUAGAGAUCAAGAAUUUUUUUCACAGUGGGCAACGACAAAGAAUAGAUGUUUAAAGCUUGGUUUUAAAUUUAAUCCUGUUGCUGUGUUGUUCUCGCUGGUGGUGUUGCCUGACUGAUGCUUUGAUAUACAGCAACUGUGUUGUAGUUCCUUGUUUGCUGGUUUGGUCAUCGUUAUAUUUACACGACCAAAACACACCAUACACUUACAAAUUUUGUUAAAUGCAUUUCCUUGUAUGCUGACAAAGAAUUUUUGUUUUGUUUGUGUGUGGAUCUUGGGGAUGUGAAUGAGCUGGCCAAGAGAAACAAUUAAACGAAGGGAGUGUGUGUGAGAGAGAAAGAGAGAGAGGCUUUGGCUUUGGAUUUCGGGGUUGGGGUCGGGGUCGGGGUAGGGGUAGGGGCGUUCUGGUUCAUGGGAAAAUCCCUCUCAUGGCUUUGGAUGAAGGCAUCUCAUAGUACAGUUAACAUAGCAGGGUUCAUGAAUCAUGCGUCAAACAGUAAUGAUGGCAGAGACACAUGCAUAUUAAGUUUUUUAUUUUUAUUUCGGAUGGGAUGGUAAUAAGAUAAUAACUGAGGUGAUGAUGGCCCACCUUACUUUAAUUUCUUUUUCAUGUCGGGAUUCAUUUCAUCAGAUUUGACGCUUUGUUUUUAUUGUUUGUUUGUAUGAUAUACACUAUAUAAAAUUUAUUUUUUAUAUGAAAAUUUUUGAAUUAGCUCUAGGCUACUCCAAAUAAAAUUUUCUGUCCAAGGUCUUAUAAGGGUGAAAGUGAAACCUCAUUUGGACACAAAGGGACCUAGUCCUCAUAAUUUUGGAGUAUUUUAUCAUGGUUUUAAAAUUUUUAAUUUACAUCUCCUCAAAAUUUUUAUAAAUUCUAACCAUAGUUUUUUAAAAAAUUAUUUGAACACUCUCAUUUAGAUCUAGUCAUGGUCAGGCCAUCACUUGCACAGGUAUGAAGGUCUGUCUGAAAAGUAGGAAGGUUUAAAACAAAUAUAUGCUUAAAAAAUGAGAUUAGAAAAAAAAGUUUGUUUUCUAAACAGACUGAGCCUCGGGUAAGAUUUUUGCCUAGAGCUGGCUCGAAUUUGUUUAAAAAAAUUUUCAAUGUUAUUUUGCUACUAUUGCUACCACUUUUGUGUUGUUUUGUUGUCAUUUUACUAUUAUAUUGUUACUAUUUUGUUGUUAUUAUUUGAUUAUUAUAUACCACUUGUUUUAUUAUUAAUUUUGCUACUACUUUAGUGGUAUUUGUUUGCUAAAUUGCACUAUCUUAAUCUUAUUUAAGUAUUAAGAUUGUUUUAAUGUAUUUUCAAUUUGUUGGGAAAUAUUUAUUUUAAUGUUUUGAGUGCAUUUGAUAUAUUAUAUUUUUAAAUUUUUUUAUAUAAAAAAAUUAAUAUGAGUUGGGUUGCGCUCAAGUUUAACAUUUUUUAUCUAAUUCAGAUUUGGACAAAAUUUUAAACCUAUUAUUCUAAUUGAAUCCAAACCUAAAAUUCUAUAUUGACCAAACUCGGCUGAUAAUCAAGUCUACUCCCAUUAAUCUUUGAAAAAUUUUAAUUAAAUCCUCAGUUUUUUAAAAUUUAAAACGUUGAUAUAUCUUCUUGAAUUCCAAUGUCGCAGAUGCUUGCUUGAUAGGUUGUAGCUUUUGUGGGGGCUGAUCUCCGUUCUGCACACUUGCAGGUUAUCAUUAAAUUGAAUAAAAUGAACAUUUACUGCAAAACCUUAGCUUACAAUUCACAUACAAAGUAUCACUUUGAUUACACAUAUGAUUAUUUUAAACUUUUUUAAUUUUUAAAUUUGCAGUAUGUCAAGUGAUCGUCUGUGCAUGUAAAUUGGAUUUGAUGAGAAAGGAUACCUUCGUAGUGAGUUUAAAAAAGGAGUUGAAUACGUAGAUUUUGAAUUUUAAAACGUUAAUGUGUUGGUCAAAAUAAGAUUUAAGCGUGAAUUUGAAGGGCAGUGCGAGAUGCAUUUAACUUAUUUUUCAUCUUACGCUAUAAAAUCGUUAUAAUAUUUAAUUU
rnacentral:lncRNA from 1 species